AUUUCUUUGUGGUACGAAUAUGUUUUGUCUGUGAAAAUGUGAGUCGUAAAGAGAUAAAUGAAAGUCUCAAGCAUAGUGGAUGUGCCAAGGCAAAACACGUGCUUAAGGAUGAAAUGGCGUGCCUUAGUUCAACGUUUUGUUCAAUUUGUUGACAGCAAAUAGUUCUGCAGCAUGUCUUGGAAAGAAUGCACCAAUUUCAACUGUCACUUCAGCAUGCGUUGUUCCUAUCAGAAUGUUAUUGUCUAGCAGUUCAUCCGCCAUCCUUGUUGCCCUGAAAAGGAUAGUGAAAUAGGCGUCAUUCUUACCAAGGACUUGGAAUUUAAUGCAUAAUGCAAGACUUGAAAAUGCCAAAGUAAAGCCUGAAGCCACCGAUUGAUGUUCCUAAUGUUCCACUUGUAUCCGAAGAUGCUUUACAAGCUGCAUCAAUUCCGCUAACGGAUGCCACUAUGGACAAGAUAUUCAUCCCUCGCUCACAAUGGAUACUUAAAAGAAGAAUCUGAAGCUGGUUUCUUCUAGUCUUUGCUCCUGAAGCUAGCAAACUUUCCAAAUUUGGGAUUGAUUACUGGCAAAUUUCCAACCUUAUAAAACUUGGAUCAGCAAUGCCUUGUAAAUAAGCCUAAAUGGAAUACUGGCUUGCCAUGGGUGAUAUAUUUUUCAUUUAAAUUAGCUUUGUUUAGUUAUUUUGAAAGUCUUUGGAGCAAGUUCACAAUCCUUCGCGCUGAUAGUUCAAAAUAUUGUCACAAAGUUCCAAAGAAUAACAAGUCACAAGUAGCACUAUCAAAUUUAUUAAUCUAUAAACAAGUCGUAACGUGCAAGCGAAGAACCGACUCCAUUGCUCGUGGAACUCGGAAUUUUUACUUUUACAGAAUAAUCCAGAAUUAUAAAGAAGGUUGUAGAAAGUUCUAGAAUAUUAGCAAAUGAUUAACAAAUUCAAAAUUCAGUCUUUAAUGUAAUGCUACUUGACUGGAAUUCGAACCCCCGAUCUUGUGCUUUGCAAGCGCGUACCUUACCUCUGAACCGCGCUGACUAUGAACAUAUUUUCCUUUUGCGAUAAUAUUAAGAAUUGCAGAGUUGUCACGUUGAAACUCUGCAAGCAUGCACGUCCCCAUAAAAUCAAUUUACGAUCUAGAAUCUGAUACUGAUCACAAACGAACUGCUUUUGUAUCAAAGCAUUUUAAUGAAAUCUAGUAAUUCAAGUCACAAAAUUGGAUUUGUAAAGUCAAGUUUUUUUAUUUCAAAGCUCAAGCCGAACAUAAGUCCGAUAUAAAAUACAAAAAAAAAAAAUAAUAAAAGGCAAAAAUUCUUAAUCUAAUUUUGAAUGGUGAAUUAUGCGAAUACUGCUGGGAAAGUUUGUAGAACUCUUCAAGCAUUGCGUAGUCAUACAAUAUACAUUUUGAUCAGAGCAAUUGAACACCAGUUUUGUAUGUGAUAGUAUAUUGCUGUCUGCAUUUCAAAUGCAUGUCGAUUGCACUUCUGUUAUGAAUCUUUAUGCCUCAGGCAAGAAAUCAACGAGUAUCGUAGUUCAUGCAUCCUAUUCCACAAAUAACCUCCUACGCAAGUAGUAUUAAAAUGAAUACGAAAUCUUGUGUUUUGUAAUCCAAUUUAAAUGAGCUGAAAUUGUGAUGGAAAUCUUUGUAGGUUACUGAUACAAUAACAAUGGGUUUCAGUGAAAGCGGUUAUUGGUUAAGCAAUACCGGCAAGUCGUUCUUCAAGCAUGAAUAUUUAGUGAACAGAGUUCCGCGUGCGGGUAUAAUAAAUUGUAUAUUGAGUAUUAAUAAAUUCUAUUAACUUCAAACACGAAGCGCAUUUCUUUAAUAGUUAGGAAAUGCACUGAAGUCAACACACAUGAGUAUUCUCGAGAACCCCAUGCAGGCAUUUUUUCAAAGUUUCCGAAACCCUGCAUAUGAUUCAAUUGCGCGCUAGGGUAAACUAAAUUAAAUGUUUCAGUUCUAACAUAAGUUAAUUUCGGUGCAUAUAGAAUAAUUAAAUUAAUGGAAAGUUCAAUUACGAAUAUUUUAGAAUCGGAUUUUUCCAAUGCUGAAAGUGUGAAGCUUAACUUUAUAAAUAUGAAGUUCAUUCUAGGCAUAUAGGGCAGGAUUAAAUCCAUCGAGUCUUGGUACCAACCGGGGUAAUUUACAGGAACAAUGGGAACGCAAUAGAUAAUAAGUAAAGAAUCUGUUAUUGUCAAGUAAAAUAAAAUUCAAACAUUCAAUUCGAAUAGAAAUACUUGAUUAAUAUUUUACAUAACUAACAUCUAACCAAUUUAUUUCUAUGCAUAGUUUCACCUUAUCUAAAAAUAGGGUUGCGCGUUUUUAGCACUAAAAUCC